rnacentral:rRNA from 1 species
AGAGUUUGAUCCUGGCUCAGGACGAACGCUGGCGGCGUGCCUAACACAUGCAAGUCGAACGAAGCAUAGCAAUAUGCUUAGUGGCGGACGGGUGAGUAACGCGUGAACAAUCUGCCCCGUACAAAGGAAUAGCCUCGGGAAACCGGGAUUAAAACCGUAUGACACUUUAGUACCGCAUGGUAUUAAAGUCAAAUUGAUUAAGAGGUAUGGGAUGAGUUCGCGUCUGAUUAGCUAGUUGGUAAGGUAAUGGCUUACCAAGGCGACGAUCAGUAGCCGGCCUGAGAGGGUGAACGGCCACACUGGAACUGAGACACGGUCCAGACUCCUACGGGAGGCAGCAGUGGGGAAUAUUGCACAAUGGAGGAAACUCUGAUGCAGCGACGCCGCGUGAGUGAAGAAGGUCUUCGGAUCGUAAAACUCUGUCCUUGGUGAAGAUAAUGACGGUAGCCAAGGAGGAAGCCCCGGCUAACUACGUGCCAGCAGCCGCGGUAAUACGUAGGGGGCGAGCGUUGUCCGGAUUUACUGGGCGUAAAGGGUGAGUAGGCGGUUGUAUAUGUCAGGUGUAAAAGGCUAUGGCUUAACCAUGGUUAGCACUUGAAACUGUACAACUUGAGUGCAGGAGAGGUAAGUGGAAUUCCUAGUGUAGCGGUGAAAUGCGUAGAUAUUAGGAGGAACACCAGUGGCGAAGGCGACUUACUGGACUGUAACUGACGCUGAGUCACGAAAGCGUGGGUAGCAAACAGGAUUAGAUACCCUGGUAGUCCACGCUGUAAACGAUGAGUGCUAGGUGUUGGGUAGC